UUUUAAUGUUUCUGUGGGAAUGGUGGCAGUCUAACUAACAAGCAUGGCACAGUAGCUCUUUCAGUGCCAAGCUUGGACAUCUUUGCUUUAUGUUAAGCUCCCUAAAUUAGAACACAUCCAGUCAAGUGGACUGGAGAAGGUGUUGGGAUUCAGAUGUUCUCAGUCAGGACUCAUAACAUCUCCCUGCAUCUGCUUGCCCUGAGUUCUCCCAUUUCAGGAUCAGCGGGAUGAGUGUGGUGGAGCAGCUAUAGAGAAGAGUAUUCACAACGGCAAUUGUGACAUGGUCUCCCAUGCUUUUCCGUCACAGUAAGCAACAGGAUUUGGGCCAGUGUCUGUGUCUGAGUAAACAUUACCAUAUUGUCAUCCUGAUAUCAUCAUCCCACUAUAACUGAUGGUCAGAGGCUGAUGAGACUGGGCUAAACGUUUCCAUAAAGCCACCCGCUGUCUUCUGAAGCAUUUCCUGCAUAAAGUCCAGAUUAUUGCCGCUGAUCAAGAACUUGGAGGCUGCUGAUCAACAAGCUGUUGUUGGCUUCUGACAGAGAGGAGCAAAAGCAACCCACAAAAGGAAAUGAAUGCUUCUAGGAGGAUACAUUGCCUUCGUGCUCAUAGACCCAAGCCUCCUGCAAGUAUCGGAGAGAACGUUCAGAAUUCAUGCGGGUGCCAACCGUGGUGUGGGAAUGAGAGGACAACUGUACAGACACUCUAUAUGCUGAUUGUUGUGAUCCUCCUGAUUGCAAUUUGGGGAGUGUGGGCAAGGAAAGAUUCCUGAGCAUGCUUCACAUCAGCUACUCCUGGAGGUCCUCUGCAGACAGAAAGGACCAAAACUUCAAAACUGAUAUACCCUGGGGCUCUUCUUGAAAUGAAAUUGAGAUUACAGUUAUGGAUGGAUUCACAGCUCUUGUUUUGAGCAAUGCAUGGGAUGAAAGAAAGAAGGAAAGAAAGAAGGAAAGAAAGAAACUAUUUUUGUACAGCUGUGUGUAAUGAUAAUAAUGUUAUAAUGCGCCACUUUAAAAGUACAUGUAAAGUAUUUAAUUAUACAUAUAAUAAAUGUACAUAUGAUUAAAAGAUUUUGUCA
rnacentral:lncRNA from 1 species